UACGUAGGGAGCUAGCGUUGUUCGGAAUUACUGGGCGUAAAGCGCGCGUAGGCGGCUUUGUAAGUUAGAGGUGAAAGCCCGGGGCUCAACCCCGGAACAGCCUUUAAGACUGCAUCGCUAGAAUCCGGGAGAGGUGAGUGGAAUUCCGAGUGUAGAGGUGAAAUUCGUAGAUAUUCGGAAGAACACCAGUGGCGAAGGCGGCUCACUGGACCGGUAUUGACGCUGAGGUGCGAAAGCGUGGGGAGCAAACAGG
rnacentral:rRNA from 1 species